CUGAUCCAGCAGGUAACAUCUGGGUCUGAAUUGUUCUCUCCUUCACUUCUUCAUGACCUUCUGAUGUCUGCUGGCUGAUCCAAGAACCUUCUGGAGAACUUCUGACUUUAUUAAGAACAUUUCAAAUCUGAGUCUGAAACCUAAACUGGAAUCAUGUUCCAGGUCUGUAGAAACAUCCAGAGUGAGGUCAGAUGUAGUGAAUGAAGGAGUGAACAUUUCCUAUGAAGUGGUGAUGUGUUGGUCCUGAACAGAUGGGCUCAGUUAAAGCAGCGGUUCUGAAACCUUUGGGGUCCAGACCUCCUUUAGACAGGCUGCCAGUCCUCCUGCUGAGAGUCAGGUUUAGUCAGAGAGGCAGGAAUAUGUGUAUGAAGGUUUU